rnacentral:rRNA from 2 species
AGUGAAGCGGGAUGAAGCUCAAAUUUAAAAUCUGGCUGGUUUACUAGUCCGAGUUGUAGUUUAAAGAAGCGUUUUCGGUGGCAGUCUCGGUAUAAAUCCUUUGGAAUAGGGUAUCAUAGAGGGUGAGAAUCCCGUCUUUGACUGAGAAUAUGCUACUAUGUGAUACGUUUUCAAAGAGUCGAGUUGUUUGGGAAUGCAGCUCAAAAUGGGUGGUAAAUUUCAUCUAAGGCUAAAUAUUGGCGAGAGACCGAUAGCGAACAAGUACCGUGAGGGAAAGAUGAAAAGAACUUUGAAAAGAGAGUUAAACAGUGCGUGAAAUUGUUAAAAGGGAAACGCUUGAAACCAGUCAUGCGGUUGGGAAAUCAGUCUCUGACAAGGGGGAAUGGGAGAGGUGUGGACCGCAAGGCCGCUCUUUUUCAUAUCUUUCGUGGCAGGGAUGCACUUUUUCUUCUGCAGGUCAACAUCAGUUUGCUUUGCCGGACAAAACUCUUGGAAAGGUGAUAGCUUAGGCUAUGUUAUAGUCCAAGAGCGAUACGGUGGAGCGGACUGAGGUUUUCGCAGCAUGUGCUCUCGGGCAAGGCUGAUUGGGUGCUAUGGGAUCGUUCAGAGUACAAUACAUGUAUUUUGCUUUGUGUCUUUUCUAUACUCGCUCAACUCGGCUCUUCCAUGCUUAGGAUGUUGACAUAAUGGUUCUAAUCGACCCGUCUUGAAACACGGACCAAGGAGUCUAACAUAUAUGCAAGUGUUUGGGUGGCAAACCCAUGCGCGUAAUGAAAGUGAACGUAGGUGCCAUCCGCAAGGUGCAGCAUCGACCGAUCUUGAUAUUUUUGGAUAGAUUUGAGUAAGAGCAUAUAUGCUGGGACCCGAAAGAUGGUGAACUAUGCCUGAAUAGGGUGAAGCCAGAGGAAAACUCUGGUGGAGGCUCGUAGCGAUUCUGACGUGCAAAUCGAUCGUCAAAUUUGGGUAUAGGGGCGAAAGACUAAUCGA